rnacentral:rRNA from 1 species
UGAUCCUGCCGGAGGCCAUUGCUAUUGGGAUCCGAUUUAGCCAUGCUAGUCGCACGAGUUCAGACUCGUGGCGAAUAGCUCAGUAACACGUGGCCAAACUACCCUUCGGAACACGAUACCCUCGGGAAACUGAGGCUAAUAGUGUAUAUCAUACCACCACUGGAAUGAGUGGUAUGCCAAACGCUCCGGCGCCGAAGGAUGUGGCUGCGGCCGAUUAGGUAGACGGUGGGGUAACGGCCCACCGUGCCAAUAAUCGGUAUGGGUCAUGAGAGUGAGAACCCAGAGACGGAAUCUGAGACAAGAUUCCGGGCCCUACGGGGCGCAGCAGGCGCGAAACCUUUACACUGCACGACAGUGCGAUAGGGGGAUCCCAAGUGCACAGGCAUAGCGCCUGUGCUUUUCGGUACCGUAAGGUGGUACCAGAAUAAGGGCUGGGCAAGACCGGUGCCAGCCGCCGCGGUAAUACCGGCAGCCCAAGUGAUGGCCGAUCUUAUUGGGCCUAAAGCGUCCGUAGCUGGCCGCGCAAGUCCAUCGGGAAAUCCACCUGCUCAACAGGUGGGCGCCCGGUAGAAACUGCGUGGCUUGGGACCGGAAGGCGCGACGGGUACGUCCGGGGUAGGAGUGAAAUCCCGUAAUCCUGGACGGACCGCCGAUGGCGAAAGCACGUCGCGAGAACGGAUCCGACAGUGAGGGACGAAAGCCAGGGUCUCGAACCGGAUUAGAUACCCGGGUAGUCCUGGCCGUAAACAAUGUCUGCUAGGUGUGGCUCCCACUACGAGUGGGUGCUGUGCCGUAGGGAAGCCGCUAAGCAGACCGCCUGGGAAGUACGUCCGCAAGGAUGAAACUUAAAGGAAUUGGCGGGGGAGCACUACAACCGGAGGAGCCUGCGGUUUAAUUGGACUCAACGCCGGACAUCUCACCAGCAUCGACUGUAAUAAUGACGACCAGGUUGAUGACCUUGUCCGAGUUUCAGAGAGGAGGUGCAUGGCCGCCGUCAGCUCGUACCGUGAGGCGUCCUGUUAAGUCAGGCAACGAGCGAGACCCGCACCCUUACUUGCCAGCAGUAUCGCGAGAUAGCUGGGGACAGUAGGGGGGCCGCCGUGGCUAACACGGAGGAAGGAACGGGCAACGGUAGGUCAGUAUGCCCCGAAUGUGCUGGGCAACAUGCGGGCUACAAUGGUCAGGACAAAGGGUUCCAACUCCGAAAGGAGACGGUAAUCUCAGAAACCUGAUCGUAGUUCGGAUUGUGGGCUGCAACUCGCCCACAUGAAGCUGGAUUCGGUAGUAAUCGCGUGUCACAAGCGCGCGGUGAAUACGUCCCUGCUCCUUGCACACACCGCCCGUCAAAGCACCCGAGUGAGGUCCGGAUGAGGCGUUCCACGAACGUCGAAUCUGGGCUUCGCAAGGGGGCUUAAGUCGUAACAAGGUAGCCGUAGGGGAAUCUGCGGCUGGAU